CAGCCAGUCGGUGCUCCAGUUCGGCAAGUAUAAGGGAAUCUCAUUUCGCUGGCUGUUGGGGAACGAUCUGGGGUAUGUUGUGAUGUUGUUGGCAGGUCACCAGCGUGAGAGGGAGACUGGCAACGUUUCACAGGUGCCGCUGAUGGAGAACAAGGACGCCCUGGACCAGUACGCCCAGCUGUUUCCCCGGGUGGUGGCUGCGGCCCGCGAUCGGCGCGGGUUGGACAGGCACCCUGGACCUGCUGCCGACGGACGAUAAGGGACGUAAGCUGGUGGGCUUUGACGCCCAUUCCGCGGUGCCUUUCGCUCCCCUCUACGAGUCUGUGGAUUAGCAGCAUGCAUCAUACGUACAGUGGCUUAAGAAGAAGGUUUCGCGUCCAGGCUCUCAGAUGUCGAUGCUUAUUGAGAACAUCAAGAGGAGGGAUGAGAAGAAAGCGUUUUCUUCCUCUACCACCUAUCGGCCUCCUUCCUCUUCUUCAGCACAGCCUGCCAACAAAGGCCUCAGACUUCUUCUCAGUCUGCAGGCCGGCCCGGUCCCAGGCCUCCUCCGUCACCUGCCACACAGCCAGGAGCCACUGACAUCCAUGAGGAC